rnacentral:rRNA from 1 species
AACGAACGCUGGCGGCAUGCCUAACACAUGCAAGUCGAACGAGACCUUCGGGUCUAGUGGCGCACGGGUGCGUAACGCGUGGUAACCUGCCCUUAGGUUCGGAAUAACUCCCCGGAAGGGGUGCUAAUACCGGAUAAUGUCUUCGGACCAAAGAUUUAUCGCCUUUGGAUGGGCCCGCGUUGGAUUAGCUAGUUGGUAGGGUAAAAGCCUACCAAGGCGACGAUCCAUAGCUGGUCUGAGAGGAUGAUCAACCACACUGGGACUGAGACACGGCCCAGACUCCUACGGGAGGCAGCAGUGGGGAAUAUUGGACAAUGGGCGAAAGCCUGAUCCAGCAAUGCCGCGUGAGUGAUGAAGGCCUUAGGGUUGUAAAGCUCUUUUACCCGGGAUGAUAAUGACAGUACCGGGAGAAUAAGCUCCGGCUAACUCCGUG